rnacentral:lncRNA from 1 species
UUUGCUGGAUAGGACAAGGUAAUUUACUUUUUUAUUUGCCUUCAGCUUUAGUUCUUAGGCAUCGCCAAAAAGGCCCUAAAACUAUUUUCUGCGACUUUGCAAGGUUGCGCAGAUAAUUCUCAAGCGGCGGAGACAGAGGCACCUCUAUACAACUUUGACGAGUUCAUGUGGACUGUAGGCCUUAUUAAUUUGGAAUUUUCUCUCAUCGCUGCUUAUGGAAUCAUGGUCGAAAUUCGAUGGGUCGUCGGAAAAUUGUCGACUAAAAUAGGUCGUCUGAAGUUUGGGGUUGAGCAAUUUGAAGAUUUUAUUACCUUUUUUUAAGAGCAUUUCAAUGUAUCUCGCUGUAUUUCUAUGUAUUUCAUUGUAUUCACUAUCUAUUUUUUCGUUGUAAUUUAAUGUAUCUUGUUGUAUUCCAUGUAUUUCAUUGUAUUCAGUGUCUUUUUUUCUCAUUGUAUUUCAAUGUUGCCCUCUGUAUUCUAUCUAUUUCAUUGUAUUUUGCGGUUGAGAAUCUUUUUUAUAACUGAAAAAUACAAAAUUUGUGUGUUAUAAUUGAGUUUGUUGAGUUAUAUUAGGAGUCUAUUAUGUUAAUUGAUUCACUUUCCGUUUUAAAAACAGUGUAUUCCCCUAUUUCACAUCGUGAAUACAGUUGAAUACAAUAAUCUGUCCAGCUGUAAUCUCAUGUUUCACUCUAUGAAUGCAGUCGAAUACACUCGAAUACAACAACUGAUUAGCUGUACUUCCCUGAUUCACGCCUAUUUUUGAUACUGUAUUCAUGAAUACAAUAGCUUAAAUACAUCAAAUACAUCUUAUAACCACAAAAAAGGUAUCUAUAUUCCGUAAUAUAGCAAAUGCCAAAUGGUAUCUAUAAAUGGCUAAUUACUAAUAAAAGAUAAUGCUUUAUGAAAAUUUCUCAUUAACAAAUACGAAAGCUAAUUAAAUACAUUUAUAUCUAUAUAUAUAAUAAAGCUAGGAAUAAUAGUGAUGACUUGGCACUUCUCUUAGGCCAAGAAAUCUAUUUAUCUUUUUUCUCCUUUUUUACUUUUUUUUAAUAUCAAAUUCAAUUGUUUAGGCCUCUUUAAUGACUUAAUUCCAUGUUCUAGCAACCUUAAGUAUGCAAAACUGUACCAGUUAUUAUUUUCAGUUUUCUAAUCAUUAAAUUGAAUUGAUUGUUGUAAUAAAAGAAAAAGAACUGAUUGAUCCCUCAUGUCUCUUAUGU